rnacentral:rRNA from 1 species
CCUACGGGUGGCAGCAGUGGGGAAUAUUGGGCAAUGGGCGCAAGCCUGACCCAGCAACGCCGCGUGAAGGAAGAAGGCUUUCGGGUUGUAAACUUCUUUUCUCAGGGACGAAGCAAGUGACGGUACCUGAGGAAUAAGCCACGGCUAACUACGUGCCAGCAGCCGCGGUACUACGUAGGUGGCAAGCGUUAGCCGGAUUUACUGGGUGUAAAGGGGGUGUAGGCGGGACAGCAAGUCAGAUGUGAAAACCAUGGGCUCAACCUGGGGCCUGCAUUAGAAACUGUUUUUCUUGAGUACUGGAGAGGCAGACGGAAUUCCUAGUGUAGCGGUGAAAUGCGUAGAUAUUAGGAGGAACACCAGUGGCGAAGGCGGUCUGCUGGACAGCAACUGACGCUGAGGCGCGAAAGCGUGGGGAGCAAACAGGAUUAGAUACCCGGGUAGUC